AUGACUGAAAAGGCUGUGUGGGAUGAUGCCCAUUUGAAAAAACUCAUUGAUAUAUUGGAAGAGGUUUCAAAUGGAAAUAGACCAUUAGGUCAUCUAAGCAAGAAGGGCUGGAAAAAUGUUUUGGAGAAAUGGGAAGCAAGAACGGGAAAGAAGUAUCCCAAGGAUAAAUUCAAGAACAAAUGGGAUAAUAAAAAUGAGUAUGUUUGGUUCAUGGAGCUGAAAAAUGAAGCUACUGGACUUGGAUGGAAUGAUGCAAAGGGGACCGUUGAUUGCUCAAAAGAAUGGUGGGACGAACAUCUUGUGAGAUGCCAGGAGAGGACAAAAAAGAAAUGCAACCAUUUGAAGUUUAAAAAGCACGGACCAAAGCACCUUGAAGAUUUGCAUGUCAUAUUUCAGAAUGUACAUGUCACUGGAGAUAUUUCCUCCGAUGAAUCAAGUGAUGACAAUGCAGUUCUUUUGGAGAAACCAGAAGAUAAUGCUGAAAUAAAAUUGUCCUCCAUGAAGAAACCAAGUGCAAGCAAGAAGCGCAAGCAACCCUCUAAUGUAAAUGAGGAGAAGGAUGAAAAGAGUCCCUUCUUACGGUUUUACAAGCAGACAUGUCAGAAGAUAGAAAGCGGAGUCGACAAGAUAACCUCAAGUGUGGAGGCAUCAUCGGCGCCGACCAACCAUGUCCCUACCAUUUCGGAGGUCAUGAAGAUGGUGAAAGAAUGUGGUGUCAAAGAAGAAACUGCUCUCAUGCACACAACGCUCACUCUUAUGGUGAAGCCUGACUUUAGGGAAAUCUUCAAUGCUCUUGAAACAAAAGAAGGGAGGCUUGAUUAUCUGAAGAGGGAGCAUGAGAGGGAGAUGUUGAAGCACGUGUAG
rnacentral:rRNA from 1 species